AGCCACGCGGGGACCCGUUCGACGACCUCUCCCAGCGACAUCCUCUAACCGUACAGGCGAUCCUCGGCUCUGCUAUUGUCUUGUUUUGACCACACCAGGCCGGAGCUCGUGGUCGUCCAGUUCACGUGAUCUCUGCCCCCGUCGGUCCUAUGCUCUGUUGUCAUCUGUCUCUGCUUGUCUUCUGUCGAGAACUCAGCGCGGGUUCGAGUCCCGUUCAAGUCAGAAACUCCAUUACCCGUGUCUCACGUCACUGUUUGUGAAAAUGCCUCAAC
rnacentral:lncRNA from 1 species